rnacentral:rRNA from 1 species
GAUGAACGCUGACAGAAUGCUUAACACAUGCAAGUCGACUCGAGUCUUCGGACUUGGGUGGCGCACGGGUGAGUAACACGUAAAGAACUUGCCUCUUAGACCGGGACAACAUCUGGAAACGGAUGCUAAUACCGGAUAUUAUGGUUUUUUCGCAUGGAGGAAUCAUGAAAGCUGGAUGCGCUAAGAGAGAGCUUUGCGUCCCAUUAGCUAGUUGGUGAGGUAACGGCCCACCAAGGCAAUGAUGGGUAGCCGGCCUGAGAGGGUGAACGGCCACAAGGGGACUGAGACACGGCCCUUACUCCUACGGGAGGCAGCAGUGGGGAAUAUUGGACAAUGGACCGCAAGUCUGAUCCAGCAAUUCUGUGUGCACGAUGACGUUUUUCGGAAUGUAAAGUGCUUUCAGUCGGGAAGAAGUCAGUGACGGUACCGACAGAAGAAGCGACGGCUAAAUACGUGCCAGCAGCCGCGGUAAUACGUAUGUCGCAAGCGUUAUCCGGAUUUAUUGGGCGUAAAGCGCGUCUAGGCGGCAAGGAAAGUCUGAUGUGAAAAUGCGGAGCUCAACUCCGUAUGGCGUUGGAAACUGCCUUACUAGAGUACUGGAGAGGUAGGCGGAACUACAAGUGCAGAGGUGAAAUUCGUAGAUAUUUGUAGGAAUGCCGAUGGGGAAGCCAGCCUACUGGACAGAUACUGACGCUAAAGCGCGAAAGCGUGGGUAGCAAACAGG